GAUGAAGAACGUAGCGAAAUGCGAUAAGUAGUGUGAAUUGCAGAAUUCAGUGAAUCAUCGAAUCUUUGAACGCACAUUGCGCCCGCUAGUAUUCUGGCGGGCAUGCCUGUUCGAGCGUCAUUUCAACCAUCAAGCCCCUUAGCUUGUGUUGGGGACCUGCGGCUGCCGCAGCCCCCGAAAUGCAGUGGCGGGCUCGUUGUCACACCGAGUGCAGUAAUCAUUCUUCUCUCCGGGCGUGGCGGCGGGUUCUGGCCGUAAAAUCACCAAUUUAUCAAGGUUGACCUCGGAUCAGGUAGGAAUACCCGCUGAACUUAAGCAUAUCAAUAAGCGGAGGA
rnacentral:misc_RNA from 1 species